UUGGAGGGCAAGUCUGGUGCCAGCAGCCGCGGUAAUUCCAGCUCCAAUAGCGUAUAUUAAAGUUGUUGCAGUUAAAAAGCUCGUAGUUGAACUUCGGGGUCUACCCAUUGGUCAGGCUUAAUUGUCUGCACUGGUGAGAUGGAUCUCUACCUUCUGAGGAACUUUCAUGCCAUUUAUUUGGUGUGAUGGGAAAUCAGGACUGUUACUUUGAAAAAAUUAGAGUGUUUAAAGCAGACUAUCGUCUGAAUACAUUAGCAUGGAAUAAUGAAAUAGGACGGACUGAUUCUAUUUCGUUGGUUUCUAGGAUCACCGUAAUGAUUAAUAGGGAUAGUUGGGGGCAUUAGUAUUCAAUUGUCAGAGGUGAAAUUCUUGGAUUUAUUGAAGACUAACUACUGCGAAAGCAUUUGCCAAGGAUGUUUUCAUUAAUCAAGAACGAAAGUUAGGGGAUCGAAGACGAUCAGAUACCGUCGUUGUCUUAACCAUAAACUAUGCCGACUAGGGAUCGGACGAAGUUAAUUUUAUAAUGACGCGUUCGGCGCCUUACGGGAAAC
rnacentral:rRNA from 1 species